AUUGAACGCUGGCGGCAUGCCUUACACAUGCAAGUCGAACGGCAGCACGGGAGCAAUCCUGGUGGCGAGUGGCGAACGGGUGGGUAAUAUAUCGGAACGUGCCCAGUAGUGGGGGAUAGCCCGGCGAAAGCCGGAUUAAUACCGCAUGAGACCUGAGGGUGAAAGCGGGGGAUCGCAAGACCUCGCGCUAUUGGAGCGGCCGAUAUCAGAUUAGCUAGUUGGUGGGGUAAAGGCCUACCAAGGCAACGAUCUGUAGUUGGUCUGAGAGGACGACCAGCCACACUGGGACUGAGACACGGCCCAGACUCCUACGGGAGGCAGCAGUGGGGAAUUUUGGACAAUGGGCGCAAGCCUGAUCCAGCAAUGCCGCGUGCAGGAAGAAGGCCUUCGGGUUGUAAACUGCUUUUGUCAGGGAAGGAAUCCCUUGGGAUAAUACCUCGGGGGGAUGACGGUACCUGAAGAAUAAGCACCGGCUAACUACGUGCCAGCCGCCGCCGUAAUAC
rnacentral:rRNA from 1 species